AUUGAACGCUGGCGGCAUGCUUUACACAUGCAAGUCGAACGGCAGCGCGGGCUUCGGCCUGGCGUCGAGUGGCGAACGGGCGAGUAAUGCAUCGGAACGUGCCCAGUAGUGGGGGAUAGGCCGGCGAAAGCCGGAUUAAUACCCCAUACGACCUUAGGGUGAAAGCGGGGGACCGAAAGGCCUCGCGCCAUUGGAGGGGCCGAUGUCGGAUUAGCUAGUUGGUGGGGUAAAGGCUUACCAAGGCGACGAUCCGUAGCUGGUCUGAGAGGACGACCAGCCACACUGGAACUGAGACACGGCCCAGACUCCUACGGGAGGCAGCAGUGGGGAAUUUUGGACAAUGGGGGCAACCCUGAUCCAGCCAUGCCGCGUGCGGGAAGAAGGCCUUCGGGUUGUAAACCGCUUUUGUUCGGGAAGAAAACCUGUGGGCUAAUACCCCGGGGGGAUGACGGUACCGGAAGAAUAAGCACCGGCUAACUACGUG
rnacentral:rRNA from 1 species